GCCCAGAGAAGCAGGAGAGAGCAGACCCCCCUGGACCCAGCUGUGUCUCCAUGAAGAGUAGCUGGUCUAUGGAUCCACCUAUUAGUUUUAAAGAUGGAAAUCAGUCUAUCAAGAAGAGAGUCCAGCAGGAGAGAGCAGACUCCCCUGGAUCCAGCUGUGUCUCCAUGAAGAGUGACCGCUCUAUGGAUGUACCAGCGGUGUUUAAAGAUGGACGCCCCUCCAGAGAGGAGAGCCCAGAGCAGCAGCAGAGAGCAGACUCCCCUGGACCCAGCUGUGUCUCCAUGAAGAGUGACCACUCUAUGGAUAUACCAUUGGUGUUUAAAGAUGGACGUCCCUCCAGAGAGGAGAGGAGCUGCUGCUGUCGAGUGCCAACAUAAAAUCAAGUCUCAUUUGAGGAGGAAGUUCUGGUGUGUGUUUGAGGGAAUCGCUAAAGCAGGUCAUUCAACGCCUCUGAAUGACUUCUACACAGAGAUCUUCAUCACAGAGAGAGGCAGUGGAGAGGUCAACAAGGAACAUGAGGUCAGACUGAUUGAAACCGCUUCCAGGAAACCAGCCAAGGAAGGAACACCAAUCAAAUGUGCAGACCUCUUUAAACCCUUACCUGGACACGAUCAACCAAUCAGGACAAUGAUGACAACUGGAGUGGC
ensembl:lncRNA